rnacentral:rRNA from 1 species
UUCCGGUUGAUCCUGCCGGAGGUCACUGCUAUUGGGAUUCGACUAAGCCAUGCGAGUCGAGAGGGUUCGGCCCUCGGCUGACGGCUCAGUAACACGUGGAUAAUCUGCCCUUAGGUGGAGGAUAACCUCGGGAAACUGAGAAUAAUAUUCCAUAGAUCUAGGAUGCUGGAAUGCAUCUAGAUUGAAAGUUCCGACGCCUAAGGAUGGGUCUGCGGACUAUCAGGUUGUAGUCAGGGUAAAGACCUGACUAGCCUACGACGGAUAUGGGUUGUGAGAGCAAUAGCCCAGAGACGAUAUCUGAGACACGAUAUCGGGCCCUACGGGGCGCAGCAGGCGCGAAAUCUUCACAAUGUGCGAAAGCACGAUGAGGGGAUCCCAAGUGCUGGCACGUAAGUGUCAGCUGUUUCUUAGUCUAAAAAACUGAGAGAGUAAGGGCUGGGUAAGACGGGUGCCAGCCGCCGCGGUAAUACCUGCAGCUCAAGUGGUGGCCGCUAUUAUUGGGCCUAAAACGUCCGUAGCCUGUUUAGUAAAUGCUUGGGUAAAUUGUGUAGCUUAACUAUACGAAUACCGGGUAGACUGCUAAACUUGGGACCGGGAGAGGCUAGAGGUACUCCUGGGGUAGAGGUGGAAUUCUGUAAUCCUAGGGGGACCACCAGUGGCGAAGGCGUCUAGCUAGAACGGGUCUGACGGUGAGGGACGAAGCCCUGGGGCGCAAACCGGAUUAGAUACCCGGGUAGUCCAGGGUGUAAACGCUGCUUGCUUGAUGUUAGUUGGGCUCCGAGCCCAACUAGUGUCGGAGAGAAGUUGUUAAGCAAGCUGCCUGGGAAGUACGGUCGCAAGACUGAAACUUAAAGGAAUUGGCGGGGGAGCACAGCAACGGGUGGAGCGUGCGGUUUAAUUGGAUUCAACGCCGGAAA